GCCUGGGUGGCUCAGUUGGUUAAGCACCUGACUUCAGCUUGGGUCAUGAUCUCAUGGUUUGUGGGUUCGAGCCCCAUGUCAGGCU
rfam:Felis catus isolate Cinnamon breed Abyssinian chromosome A3, whole genome shotgun sequence.